GAUGAAGAACGCAGCGAAAUGCGAUAAGUAGUGUGAAUUGCAGAAUUCAGUGAAUCAUCGAAUCUUUGAACGCACAUUGCGCCCCUUGGUAUCCCGAGGGGCAUGCUUGUUCGAGCGUCAUUUCACCACUCAAGCCUGGCUUGGUGUUGGGCGACGUCCUCUUUGGGGACGCGCCUCGAAACGCUCGGCGGCGUGGCACCGGCUUUAAGCGUAGCAGAAUCUUUCGCUUUGGAAGUCGGGGCCCCGUCUGCCGGAAGACCUGCUCGCAAGGUUGACCUCGGAUCAGGCAGGGAUACCCGCUGAACUUAAGCAUAUCAAUAAGCGGAGGA
rnacentral:misc_RNA from 1 species